GAAAUGCGAUAAGUAGUGUGAAUUGCAGAAUUCAGUGAAUCAUCGAAUCUUUGAACGCACAUUGCACCCUUUGGUAUUCCUUAGGGCAUGCCUGUUCGAGCGUCAUCUAAACCUUCAAGCCCUGCUUGGUGUUGGGUGCCUGUCCCGCCUCCGCGCGCGGACUCACCUCAAAUCCAUUGGCGGCCCCCGCGUCGGCCACGAGCGCAGCAGAAACGCGAACUCGUGAGCCCGUCCGGGCGGCUCCCAGAAGCUACACCCACCCAGUUUGACCUCGGAUCAGGUAGGGAUACCCGCUGAACUUAAGC
rnacentral:misc_RNA from 1 species